rnacentral:rRNA from 1 species
GAUCCACCCGUUCCCAUCCCGAACACGGAAGUUAAGCCCUCCAGCGCCGAUGGUACUUGGGGAUGACCCCUGGGAGAGUAGGUCGUUGCCAGGC